UACAGAGGGUGCGAGCGUUGUCCGGAAUCACUGGGCGUAAAGGGCGCGUAGGCGGCCCAGUAAGGUUGCGGUGAAAGCCCGGGGCUCAACCCCGGGUCGGCCGUGGCAACUGCUGGGCUGGAGCACAGUAGAGGCGGGUGGAAUUCCGGGUGUAGCGGUGGAAUGCGUAGAGAUCCGGAAGAACACCGGAGGCGAAGGCGGCUUG
rnacentral:rRNA from 1 species